AGCGAACGCUGGCGGCAGGCUUAACACAUGCAAGUCGAGCGGGCACUUUCGGGUGUCAGCGGCGGACGGGUGAGUAACGCGUGGGAACGUGCCCUCUGGUUCGGAAUAACUCAGGGAAACUUGAGCUAAUACCGGAUACGCCCUUUUGGGGAAAGGCUUGCUGCCGGAGGAUCGGCCCGCGUCUGAUUAGCUAGUUGGUGAGGUAACGGCUCACCAAGGCGACGAUCAGUAGCUGGUCUGAGAGGAUGAUCAGCCACACUGGGACUGAGACACGGCCCAGACUCCUACGGGAGGCAGCAGUGGGGAAUAUUGGACAAUGGGCGCAAGCCUGAUCCAGCCAUGCCGCGUGAGUGAUGAAGGCCUUAGGGUUGUAAAGCUCUUUUAUCCGGGACGAUAAUGACGGUACCGGAGGAAUAAGCCCCGGCUGACUUCGUG
rnacentral:rRNA from 1 species